rnacentral:rRNA from 1 species
AACGAACGCUGGCGGCAGGCUUAACACAUGCAAGUCGAGCGCCCCGCAAGGGGAGCGGCCGACGGGUGAGUAACGCGUGGGAAUCUACCCAUCUCUACGGAAUAACGCAUGGAAACGUGUGCUAAUACCGUAUACGUCCUUCGGGAGAAAGAUUUAUCGGAGAUGGAUGAGCCCGCGUUGGAUUAGCUAGUUGGUGGGGUAAAGGCCCACCAAGGCGACGAUCCAUAGCUGGUCUGAGAGGAUGAUCAGCCACACUGGGACUGAGACACGGCCCAGACUCCUACGGGAGGCAGCAGUGGGGAAUAUUGGACAAUGGGCGCAAGCCUGAUCCAGCCAUGCCGCGUGAGUGAUGAAGGCCCUAGGGUUGUAAAGCUCUUUCACCGGUGAAGAUAAUGACGGUAACCGGAGAAGAAGCCCCGGCUAACUUCGUGCCAGCCGCCGCCGUAAUAC